GUGCUCACUUCGGCAGCACAUACACUAAAAUUGGAAUAAAAUAGAGAAGAUUAGCAUGGCCCCUGCACAAGGAUGACACGAAAAUUCGUGAAGUGUUCCAGAUUUUU
ensembl:snRNA U6 U6 spliceosomal RNA